rnacentral:rRNA from 1 species
UCNUGGGAUAACACUGACGUUCAUGCCCGAAAGCGUGGGUAGCAAACAGGAUUAGAUACCCUGGUAGUNCACGCCCUAAACGAUGUCGAUUAGCUGUUGGGCAGCAUGACUGCUUAGUAGCGAAGCUAACGCGUGAAAUCGACCGCCUGGGGAGUACGGUCGCAAGAUUAAAACUCAAAGGAAUUGACGGGGACCCGCACAAGCGGUGGAUGAUGUGGAUUAAUUCGAUGCAACGCGAAGAGCCUUACCUGGUCUUGACAUGUACGGAACCCUCCAGAGACGGAGGGGUGCCUUCGGGAGCCGUAACACAGGUGCUGCAUGGCUGUCGUCAGCUCGUGUCGUGAGAUGUUGGGUUAAGUCCCGCAACGAGCGCAACCCUUGUCAUUAGUUGCCAUCAUUAAGUUGGGCACUCUAAUGAGACUGCCGGUGACAAGCCGGAGGAAGGUGGGGAUGACGUCAAGUCCUCAUGGCCCUUAUGACCAGGGCUUCACACGUCAUACAAUGGUCGGUACAGAGGGUAGCCAAGCCGCGAGGUGGAGCCAAUCUCACAAAACCGAUCGUAGUCCGGAUUGCACUCUGCAACUCGAGUGCAUGAAGUCGGAAUCGCUAGUAAUCGCAGGUCAGCAUACUGCGGUGAAUACGUUCCCGGGUCUUGUACACACCGCCCGUCACACCAUGGGAGUGGGGGAUACCAGAAGUAG